rnacentral:rRNA from 2 species
AGCAUGCAAGUCAAACGGGAUGUAGCAAUACAUCUAGUGGCGAACGGGUGAGUAACGCGUGGAUGAUCUACCUAUGAGAUGGGGAUAACUAUUAGAAAUAGUAGCUAAUACCGAAUAAAGUCAAUUAAUUUGUUAAUUGAUGAAAGGAAGCCUUUAAAGCUUCGCUUGUAGAUGAGUCUGCGUCUUAUUAGUUAGUUGGUAGGGUAAAUGCCUACCAAGGCGAUGAUAAGUAACCGGCCUGAGAGGGUGAACGGUCACACUGGAACUGAGACACGGUCCAGACUCCUACGGGAGGCAGCAGCUAAGAAUCUUCCGCAAUGGGCGAAAGCCUGACGGAGCGACACUGCGUGAAUGAAGAAGGUCGAAAGAUUGUAAAAUUCUUUUAUAAAUGAGGAAUAAGCUUUGUAGGAAAUGACAAAGUGAUGACGUUAAUUUAUGAAUAAGCCCCGGCUAAUUACGUGCCAGCAGCCGCGGUAAUACG